GCAUAAGGGUUAAAUUCUAAUAAUAAAUAGAUGGGUAAAACUGAAUGUAUGAUCAUUCGUAACGGUUUAAUGGUUUAUCUAGUAAGAAAAUUAAUUAAUUUUCUCCCUCCCCUAGUAAUCCGUUAAUUAUAAAAUUUUAAUUUGUUCACCAACUAUUUUCGAUAAUUGAAUACUAAUAAGCUAAUUUUGCUAUUAGCUUAUCAAUUACAGUUACUAUUUAAUUUUGAACAGCCCUAGUUCCUCUUGUACAGCUUCAAAUAGACUUUAUUCAAUGACCACAACAGAUCUUGCACCAAUAGAUUAGAGCUCAACAUCCCAUGUGUUGCUUCAUCACAUAUCAUAAGGAAAAGAUGUACCUUUUCCUCUCCUCUCUUGGUUUCUAGAGUUGCUUUGAAAUUAUAAGUGCAAUUUUUGCCCGGCAUGUUGGGAUCUGCAUUAGAUUAGAUAAUUCCUCCCACAACGGUCAUAUCUUUUUGCUAACAUCCAACUAGUUCUUUCUUCAGUUGAAGUUUUUAGAGACCAUUCACUACUGCGAAAGACCCUGGAUACUAGUCUACAAUUCCUUUACUUUCUCUCUAUGUGAUAUAGUCGAGCAAAGAGUAGGUUUGAUGGUGUUGUGAAUUCACAACAUCAUUAAUAAGUUUAUAGUCCACCAGUCUUCUAAAUUUGACGACUCCUCGCUUAUUGUCCCUUUAAUAGGACUUGUGUUAUCACAACUCUUUAAUUGUCGUUUUUGUGUUUGGUGAAAUAGUCUUCCUUUGAUACGUUUCUUCAUCUGGGACAAUCCCUUUCCCAUUAUCUCCGAGUUGGUUUGCUACCAUCUCUUUCCAUUGUUGCUUUAAGGGUUUUCAUUUCUUCCUUUAUCAUGGCUCUGACACCAUAUUAAAAUAAAGAUAUGGAAGAAGAAAAGACAUGUUUAUGAGAAAUUUCCUCUUCC
rnacentral:lncRNA from 1 species